rfam:Brassica napus, WGS project CCCW01000000 data, contig: 17132
GGAAUUUAAGAAAUUGUUUCUUAACUUUUAACUAAAAAAACUAAGAACCGGUUUUUAAAUAAGGACUUUAAGAACCGGUUCUUAACUUUUUUAGUUAAAAGCUAAGAAACCGUUUCUUAACUUCC